rnacentral:rRNA from 1 species
AUUGAACGCUGGCGGCAGGCCUAACACAUGCAAGUCGAGCGGAUGAAGGGAGCUUGCUCCUGGAUUCAGCGGCGGACGGGUGAGUAAUGCCUAGGAAUCUGCCUGGUAGUGGGGGAUAACGUCCGGAAACGGGCGCUAAUACCGCAUACGUCCUGAGGGAGAAAGUGGGGGAUCUUCGGACCUCACGCUAUCAGAUGAGCCUAGGUCGGAUUAGCUAGUUGGUGGGGUAAAGGCCUACCAAGGCGACGAUCCGUAACUGGUCUGAGAGGAUGAUCAGUCACACUGGAACUGAGACACGGUCCAGACUCCCACGGGAGGCAGCAGUGGGGAAUAUUGGACAAUGGGCGAAAGCCUGAUCCAGCCAUGCCGCGUGUGUGAAGAAGGUCUUCGGAUUGUAAAGCACUGUAAGUUGGGAGGGAGGGCAGUAAGUUAAUACCUUGCUGUUUUGACGUUACCAACAGAAUAAGCACCGGCUAACUUCGUG